GACGAACGCUGGCGGCGUGCCUAAUACAUGCAAGUCGAGCGGAACUGGGGGAGCUUGCUCCUUCCAGUUUAGCGGCGGACGGGUGAGUAACACGUGGGCAACCUGCCCUGCAGAUCGGGAUAACUCCGGGAAACCGGUGCUAAUACCGAAUAGUUUGGCGCCUCUCCUGAGGCGCUACGGAAAGACGGUUUCGGCUGUCACUGCAGGAUGGGCCCGCGGCGCAUUAGCUAGUUGGUGGGGUAACGGCCCACCAAGGCGACGAUGCGUAGCCGGCCGGAGAGGGUGAACGGCCACACUGGGACUGAGACACGGCCCAGACUCCUACGGGAGGCAGCAGUAGGGAAUCUUCCGCAAUGGACGCAAGUCUGACGGAGCAACGCCGCGUGAGUGACGAAGGUUUUCGGAUCGUAAAACUCUGUUGUGAGGGAAGAACACGUACCAACUAACUAUUGGUACCUUGACGGUACCUCGCCAGAAAGCCACGGCUAACUACGUGCCAGCCGCCGCGGUAA
rnacentral:rRNA from 1 species